UACGUAGGGUGCGAGCGUUGUCCGGAAUUAUUGGGCGUAAAGGGCUCGUAGGCGGUUUGUCGCGUCGGGAGUGAAAUCCACUGGCUUAACUGGUGGCUUGCUUUCGAUACGGGCAGACUGGAGGUAUGCAGGGGAGAACGGAAUUCCUGGUGUAGCGGUGAAAUGCGUAGAUAUUGGGAGGAACACCAGUGGCGAAGGCGGCUCACUGGACCGGUACUGACGCUGAUGCGCGAAAGCGUGGGGAGCAAACGGG
rnacentral:rRNA from 1 species